rnacentral:rRNA from 1 species
UACGUAGGGUGCAAGCGUUAAUCGGAAUUACUGGGCGUAAAGAGCGCGCAGGCGGUCGUUCAAGUCGAGUGUGAAAGCCCCCGGCUCAACUGGGGAGGGUCACUCGAUACUGAUCGACUUGAAGGCAGGAGAGGGAAGCGGAAUUCCCGGUGUAGUGGUGAAAUGCGUAGAUAUCGGGAGGAACACCAGUGGCGAAGGCGGCUUCCUGGCCUGUUCUUGACGCUGAGGUGCGAAAGCUAGGGGAGCGAACGGG